rnacentral:rRNA from 1 species
ACGGGGCCCGCACAAGCGAUGGAGCAUGUGGUUUAAUUCGAUGCAACGCGAAGAACCUUACCUGGGCUUGACAUCCACGGAACCUGCUGGAAACAGUGGGGUGCCUUUCGGGGAGCCGUGAGACAGGUGCUGCAUGGCUGUCGUCAGCUCGUGUCGUGAGAUGUUGGGUUAAGUCCCGCAACGAGCGCAACCCUUGUCUUUAAUUGCCAUCAUUCAGUUGGGCACUUUAAAGAGACUGUCGGUGUUAAACCGGAGGAAGGUGGGAUGACGUCAAAUCAUCAUGCCCCUUAUGACCUGGGCUACACACGUGCUACAAUGGUUGGUACAACGAGUUGCGAGUCGGUGACGGCGAGCUAAUCUCUUAAAGCCAAUCUCAGUUCGGAUUGUAGGCUGCAACUCGCCUACAUGAAGUCGGAAUCGCUAGUAAUCGCGGAUCAGCAUGUCGCGGUGAAUACGUUCCCGGGUCUU